AUGCUGGAGAAGGCCACGCUGCGCAAGAAUUCCAAGCUUGAGGGGCUCAAGCAGAAAGCUUCAUCCUCGGGGCUCCUGCCGGCGGUCGAGCUCAUGGAGCUGGCUGCAGAGGAAUCGUCCCCUCUGCCUUGCAAGGACGUCUUGCAGCUAGCGGACGCUUGUGGUGUCUCUGAGUUCGAUCUGAACAAGAGCGUGGCGUCUUGGAACGUUCGGGGUCUUGGGCGGCCAAACAAAUGCGUAGAUGUUAAGAAAGCUUUACAGUCUGCCCAACGCUCGGUCCUUUGUCUUCAGGAAACUAAACUGCUGGAUAUUCCUCUCUUCAAGGCUAUCUCUUUUCUGCCGGCUAGCCUGCGAAACUUCCAAUUUCUCCCUUCAGUGGGGGCCUCAGGGGGGCUUCUAACCGCUUGGGACGAAUCUAAUCUCGAAUGCACUAACGUUCAUUUGCAUCGCUUCUUCAUUACUUGUUGGUUCACCUUCCGGGCAUCCGACGUCUACUUCACUGUUACCAAUGUUUAUGGCCCUUGUGAUCACUCCCUUAAACUUGAGUUCUUAGAUUCUCUAACCCUUACUUCUUUGUCGAUCACUUGCCCCUGGUUGGUCUUCGGGUAUUUCAACCUUAUUCUACGGCCAAGGGACAAGUCUUCCGACCACUUUAACACCAACGAAGCUAGGUUAUUCGCUUCUGCCAUUAACUCAUUGCAGCUCCAAGAAAUUCCACUGCUGGACCGUCUUUACACGUGGUCAAAUCAACAAGAUAAUCCUACUCUUGUCAGGCUGGACAGGGCUUUCGUUAGUAUGGUCUGGUCAACUAUGUUCCCAGACUCCACACUUUCCUCUAUGACUAGGACUACCUCAGAUCAUGUUUCGAUUCUAUUACAGGCCUCC
rnacentral:rRNA from 1 species